UGGUGGUUUCACCUCAAUUGUUGUCAGUUGCUGACUGACCAUUUGGUCGUUUGUUUGUUUUGUUUGUUGGUGUGUGUGUGUGCAAAUUCCUUUUGAUUUCCCGCCACCAAAGCAAUGUAGGUGACCCACUCAGCAUGGACGGUCACUUAGCUCCGGUCUUCUCGCCUAUUCACACUCAUCCUCCAUAGGUGAAUGCAGAUAGAAGCUGUUAAACUGUUCUGGUAUUUGCUGUAAUAACUGACCCGAGCUGUGCUCUGGUACCACAGCUUUUGGCUCCACAACCUCUGGUGCCACUACUUCCGGUGUUACUUCCUGAACAUCAAGAACACCGCCUGCUUCAUACCAAACAAAGGCUACCUUAUCUAUAUUUUGUGUUGUGUUCUAUUUAUUUUGUGGCUGUAAAUAUGUGUAAAUAUAUGUGGUUUGGAUA
rnacentral:lncRNA from 1 species